ensembl:lncRNA
UGUGUGUUAAAAAAAAAACCUGGCCGUGAUCUGAGAGCAGAGGCAGAAGAGUAGAAGAGUGUGCGUGAGGAGGAGCGCAGUGCAGCUGGGGGAUUUUUUCUGGACAGUAGGGGGCUUCCCUCCGGCUCACGCUCAGGAUAAAGGCGCGAGGCAUCAAGAGCGAAAGUAAAAUGAGUGAAGAGCUCGAGGACAGCAGAUUGGGGGGGUGUGAACACAUCUGCUGAAAUACAGCGAGCUGGAUUCAGUGAACGCAGGCGGAUAAUUACAGCGGAACAGAGAGAGAGACAGAGAGAGAGAGCACGAGGCUGAAUGGAGCUGUGCGCUCAUCUGGAGGAAGAGCUGCUGCUGACUGUGUGGAGCAACUGGCUCACAGGACCAUGAGGAUAUGACCUUGGAUGGUUACCAAAAAGACGUGAUGCGCAACAAAACUUGGACAUGCUGGAUUUUUUUUGCUGGAUUUGUUUUGAGCCUGGGUGUUGCUCGGGAUUGCAAUUUUUUAUUUAAAAAUCACAUAACUGAUGAAUUGUUAUUGGAUCAUUGGUUUGAGAUCCGAUAUUUUCAGCACCCUGAUGAGACAGUCAAGGACGGCUAUACUCUUCUUUCCAUUGUUAACAUAAUGUGUACCAGCUUGAAGAAGUAUGGCCAUGACUAUGAUGACCUUGAAAAAAAUGAAAGUCGUAGACAGGUUACAGUGUCAUACAGAAUAUUAGUUAAUAAAAUUCUAAAUCUUGAAAGCAAAGACGACAUUCCGGCAGCCUGUGAGAGGCAUGCCUGCAACUACUCUUUCAGUAAAAGUUAUAUCAGCCCAGAUGAGCUGGAGAAAGAGUUUCGUAAAGAAUGUGCAUGGAAUGGAACAUUGCCAGCUUGUCCAUCGCCACAGACUACAUCUCCUUCACCAUCACAAGUCAGCCAUGCAACAUCUACACCUUCACCUACCAAUUCACCAACAUCUACUCCAUCUCAUACUACCACCCACCAAAGCACGAGAACAACGACAUCAUUGUCAUCACAACCCAGGAAUAUGACCUCCCCAUCUGCAUCUAACAAUACAAAGACACCUCCAGCAUAUCAGCCAACGUCUUCUACUAACGUCACAGAAAACAGUGGAAAUAUGCAAAAGAAUCAAGCAGAUCUGGAAAAAAACAACCUGGAAAAAAACAAAGGUAAGUGUGGGACCACAUUACACAUUGUUAAAUUCUCAGCUUCUACUAUUUUACUGACUAAAACCAAGUCUUUGCCCUUUUUUUCUAGAUAAUAUUUUCUUAUCAUUAUUGACUGUAUCCUGUACGGUCAAUGUUGCUUUGAUUAUCCUUGUGUUGUGGCAGUGCAGGAGCAGGCGUCCAAAUAAUCUUCAGGUAAGAUAUUUAUUUAAAUUCCUUACAUUUAUGUGUUUUUUUUGUGUGGAAGGUGACAUAGAGUACCAGUUGAAAGUCUGCAUUGUAGAUUAAUACUAAAGUCACUCAAACUAUGAAGAGAAUUGUAUACAAAAAAGUGUUAAAUAUUAUUUUACAACCUAUUUCAAUGUCCAUUGCUUCAUUUACAUGCACUGGUUUUGUUCAUAAGGACAAAAAAAAUCAGUAUGUCCAGUUGAGUUUGUCAUUGUCAUUGUGGUGAAGAUUUCGGUGAAAAUAGAUUGACUCAGGAGGAAGAUGGUGGCUUCCGUGGUAACAAGUUUCUCUGAACUUGUUCUACUUAAUCUUCUCUUUAUUUUCCUUAAAUAAACCACUGCUACUUGUUCA